rnacentral:rRNA from 1 species
GAUGAACGCUGGCGGCGUGCCUAAUACAUGCAAGUCGAGCGAACGGACGAGAAGCUUGCUUCUCUGAUGUUAGCGGCGGACGGGUGAGUAACACGUGGAUAACCUACCUAUAAGACUGGGAUAACUUCGGGAAACCGGAGCUAAUACCGGAUAAUAUUUUGAACCGCAUGGUUCAACAGUGAAAGACGGUCUUGCUGUCACUUAUAGAUGGAUCCGCGCUGCAUUAGCUAGUUGGUAAGGUAACGGCUUACCAAGGCAACCAUGCAUAGCCGACCUGAGAGGGUGAUCGGCCACACUGGAACUGAGACACGGUCCAGACUCCUACGGGAGGCAGCAGUAGGGAAUCUUCCGCAAUGGGCGAAAGCCUUGCGGAGCAACGCCGCGUGAGUGAUGAAGGUCUUCGGAUCGUAAAACUCUGUUAUUAGGGAAGAACAUAUGUGUAAGUAACUGUGCACAUCGUGACGGUACCUAAUCAGAAAGCCACGGCUAACUACGUG